rnacentral:rRNA from 1 species
AUACAGAGGGUGCGAGCGUUAAUCGGAAUUACUGGGCGUAAAGCGCGCGUAGGCGGCUUGGUCAGUCGGAUGUGAAAGCCCCGGGCUCAACCUGGGAAUGGCAUUCGAUACUGCCAGGCUAGAGUAUGGGAGAGGGAAGUGGAAUUUCCGGUGUAGCGGUGAAAUGCGUAGAUAUCGGAAGGAACACCAGUGGCGAAGGCGACUUCCUGGCCCAAUACUGACGCUGAGGCGCGAAAGCGUGGGGAGCGAACAGGAUUAGAAACCCCUGUAGUCC